GACGAACGCUGGCGGCGUGCUUAACACAUGCCAGUCGAACGGAAAGGCCCUGCUUUUGUGGGGUGCUCGAGUGGCGAACGGGUGAGUAACACGUGAGUAACCUGCCCUUGACUUUGGGAUAACUUCAGGAAACUGGGGCUAAUACCGGAUAGGAGCUCCUGCUGCAUGGUGGGGGUUGGAAAGUUUCGGCGGUUGGGGAUGGACUCGCGGCUUAUCAGCUUGUUGGUGGGGUAGUGGCUUACCAAGGCUUUGACGGGUAGCCGGCCUGAGAGGGUGACCGGCCACAUUGGGACUGAGAUACGGCGCAGACUCCUAUGGGAGGCAGCAGUGGGGAAUAUUGCACAAUGGGCGGAAGCCUGAUGCAGCAACGCCGCGUGCGGGAUGACGGCCUUCGGGUUGUAAACCGCUUUCGCCUGUGACGAAGCGUGAGUGACGGUAAUGGGUAAAGAAGCACCGGCUAACUACGUG
rnacentral:rRNA from 1 species